GCUGCUGCCUCCAUCAGCCAGAACUAAGGCAACUGGGUACGUGGCUCAGUAACCCUAGAGAUAAAUUCCCCUGAAUGAACCUCCAGCUAUAACAUUUGGACACUCAAAACCUACUGUAUUUUAAGAUUAAUUACUGUACUUUGAAGGAAAAGGCUGACAAUAGCUUUGUUACUGCACAGAAAGUUCCAAGCUUAAUGGGUCAUAGGAUAAUUAAUUAUCAUAAUGCUUGCCUUUGAAGUAGUUGGAAGAAAGGAAAAAUUACCCCAUUUGACUGAUAGAAAAACUGAGACAAGGGAAGCUAACUUGCUUGUGGUUACCCAGGGAAUAGUUGGCUGAGACUCCAGGAUUCCUGACUCCAAAUUCAUUGCUGUAACCACCAGACUGAAACCAGCCGCCAAAGGCUGUAAUUUGGUCUUGAGGCCGUGGCCAUGGUUUAGAACCACAAUAGUGAGGGAACCACUUUAAGGAGGACCUUGAAAAUCUUUCAAGGGAAUUAUGCCUCUUUAUCUAUGUUGAUUAUGUAAUGAUUGGAAUAAAUGAGGGUUUUGGCCCAACACAUUUGUGGUUUUGGGUUAGGCUGGGGUCCCUUUUAGGAAACUGGGAAUGUUUGCCUCAUCCUUGGGCCCCAAUUUUUAAACCAAUUGUGUUGAGUUUAUGAUACACAAAUCAAUGUGUUAACAUUAUGCUUUUUACUUGGCAGAAGUCAUAACUCGGGUUUCCAUGGAUAUAGCAAGAUGGGCCAGAGAGGAGAGGAUUGGAGACUUAGAAACCGAGGGAGUGUACUUCAUGGGACCACACGGUGAUCAGAAAUGGACCUGAGAUACCCCACCUAAUGCAGACACAGCAAUGCAAAGCAGGAUACACAAGCUCAGGAGCAUUGUGAAAAACUCUCCUAAGCUUAAGUCAUCAUACCAACUACACAGGAUAUGAAAGUGGGGAAGAAAAUGAAGGUAACUAAUCCUAUCACAUCAUGUAGUUUUCCUGAAGGUGUCACCAAUAUUAGAGGUAACAGUGUUGACUUUGUUGGAAUUUGCGAUGCCCGAUAAAUAGCAUUCCCUUUUCCCUCCUGAGUUCUGAGCCAAACAAAAAAUAAGAUAAAAGGGUAAGGUGGAUAAGAACUCAUGUUACCUUUAUUUUAAAUUGAUAGCGUUCAAUUCAGAUUUUACUACAUUGUCAAGGGAAAUUGUUUUAUUAUUUUUAAAAAUUAACAAAGUUUAAUUGUUUUAAACAUCAUAGUAGAGAAUGUGGUUGUUGUAGGAAUAUGGCUUCUAUCGCAGACAGGCAGGCUUCCUAAUAGGACUAAAUGCUGGCGUUAGAAAGACUUAACCCACCCAGUCUCUGGACCAUGUCACAUGGGAAAACUGCCCAUGAGAACCAAGGAGCUGAGCAGAAGAUGUGCUCCUGCUGAUGGCUACACCCUUUACUUGUCUAGUUUCUCUUUCUAAAUUUAGUAAUCAGAUGAAGUCACUGUUCCUCAAAGGAACAAGUGAUGAGGGGGCAAGAAUGCAGGUGUAUCUCCCAAAUAGAAUUCUCUCCCUUCGGGUAAAGAAGGACUCUUCUGGCCAACAGAUGAUGUAUAUGUAGGUUUUUAACAUGAUUACAUCUUGGUGAUUCAUUAAAAAAUUAAGAGUUCAGUAAAAUUGAAAUUAAACCUCAUAAAUUUAAAAAUGAAGGUGACUUACAACUUUAACACCAUUUGUAAACACGGAAUCUAUAAAGUAAGUUAACAGUGUCUGUAGAAUUUGUGAAGGACCAUUUUGAUUCCUUAAGAGAAUGUACUAAUUUGAAGUCAUUUCAGAGUACUCACCAAAAUUUCAAAAGGACCAUGCUAAUUGUAAAACGUUAUCUACCCAUGCAACUGAUAUAGGCAUACGUAUUUUGUUCUUAGCGGAACAGUCAAAAUGUUGAACAAAAGUAACUCAAUUGUUUUAUUUUACUUCUUAAUAUGCAUGUAUUCUACCAACAUGCUCUGCCUUCAGCUUACUGAUGAGCAAAGACUGAAAGGGAAAGGAACUCUGGGUUGCUCCAUCUUUCCCUUUCCUCCUAUGCCACCAUUUUCAACAUAAGUGAUUGACACAGGCAGGCAAGUAAGAGAAGAUAUGAUGGGGUUCUCGGGUUGUUUGGUUUCUUAGAAAACUACUGUCUUCCUCCUGAGUAUGAGACAAAUUCGCUUUUAAAUAGAAGGUGUGGUUUGGAGGUGGGGGUAAGCAAACAGCAUACCUACAACCUCUGCUACUCAUUCGAUGUAAUGGGCUUACCUUAUAUUUGCUUUGAGUUUCACUGAACUCCCCUGCAUCUGAGUGCACCAGAGUUCCAUGCCCAGGGGGCAUCAUGAAGGCUACCUGCAAACAGGACAGCUAGGAGGAGUAGGACUUACACUGCACAUUCCUACUCUGCUCAGGUGCAUUCUUUAUUGUCCCAUCAGACUUCAUGUGUGAAACACAUGUUCAAAUACAAAAUUAAGAACUUCAAUCCAGUCUCUUGGGACAGACCAUGACGGAAGAUACUAUAAGAAAGGGAAUUAAUGUAUGUAUGACUAGAUCAUUUUUCUGUACAGCUGAAAUUGGUGCAACAUUGUAAAUCAACUAUAGUAUUUUUUAAAAAGGGAAAAAAUUUAAGAUUUCAAAACAGAGACAGCAGAGAUAUAAAUCAAGUGUGGGUCAUUUGGGGGAAAAGAUCAUGAAGCCAGUCCUGGAGAAAGCGUUGAACCUAAGGGAGUUCAGGCCACAGAUCAGCAGCAAGGAAGGCUGACUUCUAGAAUAGUGAACUGAAAGGGAGGGACAGGUGGUGGAACAACCCUUUAUUCUUCUUUUAGGAACUUGUUCUCACUUUUGUCAGGAGUUUAGAGUAUCAACAACAAACAGGCCUUGUACCAACAGAACAUGAGGGUGCAGGCUGUUGCCAGCAAGAGUGCUAGGGGUGACUUUCCCCUUAAUAAAUACUUAGUAAUUCUUCUCAAGUUCUUAUUCAUAGUUUUAUGGACCCAAUUUAGUCUUUGUGCUAAAUGUUCCACUAUACACAAAUGGAUGUGAGUUUUUGCUGCAUUUUUGUGAGCAUCUGGCAAUAACCAGUCUGGUUAAAUAAAAGUUUAUUAUAAUUUUUCAACUGAUUUAGUAAAAUUGGUAUAAAUGUGUAGCUUUGGUAAAUUAAACAGCUUUCGAAGUUCUUUACACUCAUUACAUUUGUAGCCACUUUAGAGUUUACAAAGUGCUUUUACCUACCAAGUGCCCUAUUUAACCCCCAUAAUAACCCUGUGGGGUAGGAUAGGCAGACAUUAUUAUCACUGUGUAUGGGAGUGUUUACCAGACCUGCGAAUCAGAUUACAUGAACCUACAUCCCUCCAUGGCCUCAGCUGAUUGGAAAGGUGGAAGCACUUAAAGCAAGGAAAUCAGACCAUAAGCUAGACAAUGAAUGACCUAGUGUGACCAGACUCUGAAAGAUGAACUGGGCCAUUGGAUGUAUCUCUCAGCAGAGGUAAGGUAAUGUGUCCAGUACAGACCUCUUUAUACAGCUCAUACAGAGUCUCAACAUUUCUAAAAUAGAUCUAUUGAGACAUUUUCUCAAAUUGCCCCUUUCUUGGUCUUCUCCAUCUUAGUAAAAGGCACUUCCAUCCACUUAUUUUUUCAGCCAAAACCCUAGGAGUCAUCCUCAAGUCCUCCUUUUCCCUCCAUUCAGUCUCUCAGCAAGCUCUGCCAGUUCUAUUGAUAGCUUUAGUCUAUCUGCUUCUUUUCAGUGCUGCUGACCACUCUCUGGCUCUUGCCUAACUUUGGAGUAGACUCAGAGUUGGUCUCCCUGCUUCCAUUCUUGCCCCAUUGUAAUCCAGUCUCCACACAAUUGCCAUAGUGAGCUUUAUAAAAUGUAAAUCAAACCAUGUUAUUUAUACACUUAAAUUUUUUUCAAAGGUUUGUCAUAGCUCAAGAGCUCAUUGCCCUGAUUUCCAAGGUUUUGCAUGAUGUGGACUCCCUCCUGACUUUUACCAAGCCCUUUAGCCAUAUUGAAUUUCUCUUAGUACUUAGAGCCUAUCAAGCUCUCUCUACCUCAAGGACUUUGCACUUGCUAGUACUUCUGCCUGAAAACUUCUGCCUUCAACUCUUUGCGAUGCUUAUUUAAAAUCAUUUUUUUUAAAUUAUUUUCCCACUGUACAGCAAGGGGGUCAGGUCAUCCUUAGAUGUAUACA